AGAGUUUGAUCCUGGCUCAGAUUGAACGCUGGCGGAAUGCUUUACACAUGCAAGUCGAACGGCAGCACGGGUGCUUGCACCUGGUGGCGAGUGGCGAACGGGUGAGUAAUGCACCGGAACGUAUCCAAUAAUGGGGGAUAACGCACCGAAAGGUGUGCUAAUACCGCAUACGCCCUGAGGGGGAAAGCGGGGGAUCGUAAGACCUCGCGUUAAUGGAGCGGCCGAUGCCGGAUUAGCUAGUUGGUGAGGUAAAGGCUCACCAAGGCGACGAUCCGUAGCUGGUCUGAGAGGACGACCAGCCACACUGGAACUGAGACACGGUCCAGACUCCUACGGGAGGCAGCAGUGGGGAAUUUUGGACAAUGGGCGCAAGCCUGAUCCAGCCAUUCCGCGUGAGUGAAGAAGGCCUUCGGGUUGUAAAGCUCUUUCAGCAGGAACGAAACGGUGGCCCCUAAUACGGGCUGCUAAUGACGGUACCUGAAGAAGAAGCACCGGCUAACUACGUG
rnacentral:rRNA from 1 species